rnacentral:misc_RNA from 1 species
GAAACAAUCAUCAGAAAUUCCAUAAACAACAUAGUAAGAAAUAAAAAUGAGCUUCAGUAUUGAAGGUAAUAACAUCAUAAAACAAAAUUCUUAUAAAUUCUAGUCCCGAAAAUGACAAAAUCCUCCUAGAAGCUAUAAAGAUACCAAGUUGUGCCACAAUUAACCUUCGAUGUCUUAGGCUGAUGCUGCUGCUCCUUUGUUCCUUGGCGCUGCUUCAGUACCUUCUCUGAAACCACUCUUAAAUCUGCGAGGAACAUGGCGCAAAUAUCUCAUCCGCCCAGUUCCAGUGGUCUUCCUUCGGAUCGCCUUGACGCUCCAGUUA